rnacentral:lncRNA from 1 species
AUAAAGAUGGAAUGACUUCUAAUUUUUAGGUCCGUAUGAUUUGAAAUACUUGCACACAAACCACGCAAAACCGUUCCUAGAAAUCUCGGUCGAAAAAAGGACGUUUAGUAAUUCUAAAAGGGACUACAGGAUGAAAAACAAUAGUUUUGGCAGUUAAAGUUUGAGAUUCGAUGGUGCCGUAGAUCCGUUUGGUCAUCAGGUGUUACGAGCCACACCCAUGUCUAGCUAGAGUAGUGUGCUAGGUUCAGACUAGAGAAGAAACGGGGAACAAAGUGAUUAAAGAAUGAUCAUACCGAGGGAAUUCACUCAGAACUAACAAGAAUGAUAACGUGCUCCGACUGGAGCGGUUUAGGAACUGCUGGAAGGCUCUAGGGGAAUAAAGAUGGAAUGACUUCUAAUUUUUACGUCCGUAUGAUUUGAAAUACAUGCACACAAACCACGCAAAAGCGUUCCUGGAAAUCUCAGCCUAAAAAAGGACGUUUAGUAAUUCUAAAAGGGACUACAGGAUGAAAAAUAAUAGUUUGGGCAGUUAAAAUUUGAGAUUCGACGCUGCCGUAGAUCCGUUUGGUCAUCAGGUCUUACGAGCCACACCCAUGUCUAGCUAGAAUAGUGUGUUAGGCUCAGGCUAGAGAAGAAACGGGGAACAAACUGAUGAAAGAAUGAUCAUACCGAGGGAAUUCACUCAGAACUAACAAGAAUGAUAACGUGCUCCGACUGGAGCAGUUUAGAAACUCCUGGAAGGCUCUAGGGGAAUAAAGAUGGAAUGACUUCAAAGUUUUAGGUCCGUAUGAUUUGAAAUACUUGCACACAAACCGCGUGAAAGCGUUCCUGGAAAUCUCAACCCAAAAAAGGGCGUUUAGUAAUUCUAAAAGGGACUACAGGAUGUAAAACAAUAGUUUUGGCAGUUAAAGUUUGAGAUUCGAUGGUGCCGUAGAUCCGUUUGGUCAUCAGGUGUAACGAGCCACACCCAUGUCUAGCUAGAGUAGUGUGCUAGGCUCAGACUAGAGAAGAAACGGGGAACAAAGUGAUGAAAGAAUGAUCAUACCGAGGGAAUUCACUCAUAACUAACAAGAAUGAUAACGUGCUCUGACUUGAGCGGUUUAGGAACUGCUGGAAGGCUAUAGGGGAAUAAAGAUGGAAUGACUUCAAAUUUUUAGGUCCGUAUGAUCUGAAAUACUUGCACACAAACCGCGAGAAAGCGUUCCUGGAAAUCUCAACCCAAAAAAGGACGUUUAGUAAUUCUAAAAGGGACUACAGGAUGAAAAACAAUAGUUCUGGCAGUUAUUGUUUGAGAUUCGAUAAUCUCGUAGAUCCGUUUGGUCAUCAGGUGUAACGAGCCACACCCAUGUCUAGCUAGAGUAGUGUGCUAGGCUCAGACUAGAGAAGAAACGGGGAACAAACUGAUGAAAGAAUGAUCAUACCGAGGGAAUUCACUUAGAACUAACAAGAAUGAUAACGUGCUCCGACUGGAGCGGUUUAGGAACUGCUGGAAGGCUCUAGGGGAAUAAAGAAGGAACGACUUCUAAUUUUUAGGUCCGUAUGAUUUGAAAUAUGUGCACACAAACCACGAGAAAGCGUUCCUAGAAAUCUCGGCCCAAAAGAGGACGUUUAGUAUUCUAAAAGGGACUACAGAAUGAAAAACAAUAGUUUUGGCAGUUAAAGUUUGAGAUUUGACGGUGCCGUAGAUCUGUUUGGUCAUCAGGGGUUACGAGCCACACCCAUGUCUAGCUAGAAUAGUGUGUUAGGCUCAGGCUAGAAAAGAAACGGGGAACAAAGUGAUGAAAGAAUGAUCAUACCGAGGGAAUUCACUCAGAACUAACAAGAAUGAUAACAUGCUCCGACUGGAGCGGUUUAGGAACUGCUGGAAGGCUCUAGGGGAAUAAAGAUGGAAUGACUUCUAAUUUUUAGGUCCGUAUGAUUUGAAAUACUUGCACACAAACCGCGCGAAAGCGUUCCUGGAAAUCUCAGCCCAAAAAAGGACGUUUAGUAAUUCUAAAAGGGACUACAGGAUGAAAAACAAUAGUUUUGGCAGUUAAAGUAUGAGAUUCAACGGUGCCGUAGAUCCGUUUGGUCAUUAGGUGUUACGAGCCACACCCAUGUCUAGCUAGAAUAGUGUGCUAGGCUCAGGCUAGAGAAGAAACGGGGAACAAACUGAUGAAAGAAUGAUCAAACCGAGGGAAUUCACUCAGAACUAACAAUAAUGAUAACGUGCUCCGACUGGAGCGGUUUAGGAACUGCUGGAAGUCUCUAGGGGAAUAAAGAUGGAAUGACUUCUAAUUUUUACGUUCGUAUGAUUUGAAAAACUUGCCCAUAAACCGCGCGAAAGUGUUCCUGGAAAUCUCAGCCCAAAAAAGGACGUUUAGUAAUUUUAAAAGGGACUACACGAUGAAAAACAAUAGUUUUGGCAGGUAAAGUUUGAGAUUCGACAGUGCCGUAGAUCCGUUUGGUCAUCAGGUGUUACGAGCCACACCCAUGUCUAGCUAGAAUAGUAUGUUACGCUCAGGUUAGAGAAGAAACGGGGAACAAACUGAUGAAAGAUGAUCAUACCAAGGGAAUUCACUCAGAACUAACAAGAAUGAUAACGUGCUCCGACUGGAGCGGUUUAGGAACUGCUGGAAGGCUCUAGGGGAAUAAAGAUGGAAUGACUUCUAAUUUUUACGUCUGUAUGAUUUGAAAUACUUGCACACAAACAACGCAAAAGCAUUCCUGGAAAUCUCAUCCUAAAAAAGGACGUUUAGUAAUUCUAAAAGGGACUACAGGAUGAAAAAUAAUAGUUUGGGAAGUUAAAAUUUGAGAUUCGAUAGUGCCGUAGAUCCGUUUGGUCAUCAGGUGUUAGGAGCCACACCCAUGUCUAGCUAGAAUAGUGUGUUAGGCUCAGGCUAGAGAAGAAACAGGGAACAAACUGAUGAAAGAAUGAUCAUACCGAGGGAAUUCACUCAGAACUAGCAAGAAUGAUAACGUGCUCCGACUGGAGCAGUUUUGAAACUGCUGGAAGGCUCUAGGGGAAUAAUGAUGGAAUGACUUCUAAGUUUUUGGUCCGUAUGAUUUGAAAUACGUGCACACAAACCCAGAGAAAGUGUUCUUGGAAAUCUCGGCCGAAAAAAGGAUGUUUAAUAAUUCUAAAAGGGACUACAGGAUGAAAAACAAUAGUUUUGGCAGUUAAAGUUUGUGAUUCGAUGGUGCUGUAGAUCUGUUUGGUCAUCAGGUGUUAUGAGCCACACCCAUGUCUAGCUAGAACAGUGUGUUAGGCUCAGGCUAGAGCAGAAACGGGGAACAAACUUAUGAAAGAAUGAUCAUACCGAGGGAAUUCACUCAGAACUAACAAGAAUGAUAACGUGCUCCGACUGGAGAGGUUUAGGAACUGCUGGAAGGCUCUAGGGGAAUAAAGAUGGAAUGACUUCAAAUUUUUAGGUCUGUAUGAUCUGAAAUACUUGCACACAAACCGCGAGAAAGCGUUCCUGGAAAUCUCAGCCCAAAAAAGGACGUUUAGUGAUUCUAAAAGGGACUACGGGAUAAAAAACAAUAGUUUUGGCAGUUAAAGUUUGAGAUUCGAUAAUGCCGUAGAUCCGUUUGGUCAUCAGGUGUAACGAGCCACACCCAUGUCUAGCUAGAGUAGUGUGCUAGGCUCAUACUAGAGAAGAAAUGGGGAACAAACUGAUGAAAGAAUGAUCAUACCGAGGGAGUUCACUCAAAACUAACAUGAAUGAUAACGUGCUCCGACUGGAGCGGUUUAGGAACUGCUGGAAGGCUCUAGGGGAAUAAAGAUGGAAUGACUUCUAAUUUUUAGGUCCGUAUGAUUUGAAAUACAUGCACACAAACCCCAAGAAAGCGUUCCUGGAAAUCUCGCCCCGAAAAACGACGUUUAGUAAUUCUAAAAGGGACUAUAGGAUGAAAAACAAUAGUUUUGGCAGUUAAAGUUUGAGAUUUGACGGUGCCGUAGAUCUGUUUGGUCAUCAGGUGUUACGAGCCACACCCAUUUCUAGCUAGAAUAGUGUGUUAGGCUCAGGCUAGAAAAGAAACGGGGAACAAAGUGAUGAAAGAAUGAUCAUACCGAGGGAAUUCACUCAGAACUAACAAGAAUGAUAACAUGGUCCGACUGGAGCGGUUUAGGAACUGCUGGAAGGCUCUAGGGGAAUAAAGAUGGAAUGACUUCUAACUUUUAGGUCCGUAUGAUUUGAAUUACUUGCACACAAACCGCGCGAAAGCGUUCCUGGAAAUCUCAGCCCAAAAAAGGACGUUUAGUAAUUCUAAAAGGGACUACAGGAUGAAAAACAAUAGUUUUGGCAGUUAAAGUUUGAGAUUCGACGGUGCCGUAGAUCCGUUUGGUCAGCAGGUGUUACGAGCCACACCCAUGUCUAGCUAGAGUAGUGUGCUAGGUUCAGACUAGAGAAGAAAUGUUGGGGAACGUAGCAGAAAUUCAAAAUUUUCCUACGUGUCACCAAGAUCUAUCUAUGGAGAGACUAGCAACGAGGGAAGGAGAGUGCAUCUACAUACCCUUGUAGAUCGCUAAGCGGAAGCGUUCAAGUGAACGGGGUUGAUGGAGUCGUACUCGUCGUGAUUCAGCUCACCGAUGAUCCUAGUGCCGAACGGACGGCACCUCCGCGUUCAACACACGUACAGCUCGACGAUGUCUCCCACGCCUUGAUCCAGCAAGGAGAGAGGGAGAGGUUGAGGAAGACUCCAUCCAGCAGAAGCACAACGGCGUGGUGGUGAUGGAGGAGCAUGGCAAUCCUGCAGGGCUUCGCCAAGCACCUAUGGGAGAGGAGGAGGUGUCACGGGAGGGAGGGAGGCGCCAAGGGCUCAGGUAUAGAUGCCCUCCCUCCCCUCCACUAUAUAUAGGGGCAAGGGAGAGGGGGGAGGCGCAGCCUUGCCCCUUCCUCCAAGGAAGGGGUGCGGCUAAGAGGGGGGGAGGAGUCCAUCCUCCCCAAGGCACCUCGGAGGUGCCUUCCCCCUUUAGGACUCUCCCCUUUUUCCUAUAUCUUGGCGCAUGGGCCUCUAGGGGCUGGUUCCCUUGGCCCAUGUAGGCCCAGGCGCACCCCCUACAGCCCAUGUGGCCCCCCGGGGCAGGUGGCCCCACCUGGUGGGCCCCCGGGACCCUUCCGGUGGUCCCGGUACAAUACCGAUGACCCCGAAACUUGUCCCGAUGGCCGAAACAGGACUUCCUAUAUAUAAAUCUUUACCUCCGGACAAUUCCGGAACUCCUCGUGACGUCCGGGAUCUCAUCCGGGACUCCGAACAACAUUCGGUAACCACAUACAAACUUCCUUUAUAACCCUAGCGUCAUCGAACCUUAAGUGUGUAGACCCUACGGGUUCGGGAGACAUGUAGUCAUGACCGAGAUGUUCUCCGGUCAAUAACCAACAGCGGGAUCUGGAUACCCAUGUUGGCUCCCACAUGUUCCACGAUGAUCUCAUCGGAUGAACCACGAUGUCAAGGACUCAAUCAAUCCCGUAUACAAUUCCCUUUGUCUAGCGGUAUGGUACUUGCCCGAGAUUCGAUCGUCGGUAUACCGAUACCUUGUUCAAUCUCGUUACCGGCAAGUCUCUUUACUCAUUUCGUAACACAUCAUCCCGUGAUCAACCCCUUGGUCACAUUGUGCACAUUAUGAUGAUGUCCUACCGAGUGGGCCCAGAGAUACCUCUCCGUUUACACGGAGUGACAAAAUCCCAAUCUCGAUUCGUGCCAACCCAACAGACACUUUCAGAGAUACCCGUAGUGUACCUUUACAGCCACCCAGUUACGUUGUGACGUUUGGCACACCCAAAGCACUCCUACAGUAUCCGGGAGUUGCACAAUCUCAUGGUCUAAGGAAAUGAUACUUGACAUUAGAAAAGCUUUAGCAUACGAACUACAUGAUCUUGUGCUAGGCUUAGGAUUGGGUCUUGUCCAUCACAUCAUUCUCCUAAUGAUGUGAUCCCGUUAUCAACGACAUCCAAUGUCCAUGGUCAGGAAACCGUAACCAUCUAUUGAUUAACGAGCUAGUCAACUAGAGGCUUACUAGGGACAUGGUGUUGUCUAUGUAUCCACACAUGUAUCUAAGUUUCCUAUCAAUACAAUUCUAGCAUGGAUAAUAAACGAUUAUCAUGAACAAGGAAAUAUAAUAAUAAUCAAUUUAUUAUUGCCUCUAGGGCAUAUUUCCAACAGUCUCCCACUUGCACUAGAGUCAAUAAUCUAGUUCACAUCGAUAUGUGAUUAACACUCAAGGUCACAUUCCCAUGUGACUAACACCCAAGAGUUUACUAGAGUCAAUAAUCUAGUUCACAUUUACCAUGUGAUUAACACUUGAUGAGUUCUGGGUUUGAUCAUGUUAUGCUUGUGAGAGAGGUUAUAGUCAACGGGUCUGAACCUUUCAGAUCCGUGUGUGCUUUACAAAUCUCUAUGUCAUCUCCUAGAUGCAGCUACCACGUUCUAUUUGGAGCUAUUCCAAAUAACUGUUCUACUUGGAGCUAUUCUAAAUUGUUGCUCCAUUAUACGUAUCCGGUAUCUCUACUCAGAGCUAUCCGGAUAGGUGUUAAGCUUGCAUCGACGUAACCCUUUACGACGAACUCUUUUACCACCUCCAUAAUUGAGAAAAUUCCUUAGUCCACUAGUUACUAAGGAUAACUUUGACCGCUGUCCUGUGAUCCAUUCUUGGAUCACUCUUGUACCCCUUGACUGACUCAUGGUAAAGCACACUUCAGGUGCGGUACACAGCAUAGCAUACUGUAGAGCCUAUGUCUUAAGCAUAGGGGACGACCUUCGUUCCUUUCUCUCUAUUCUGCCAUGGUCGAGCUUUAAGUCUUAACUUCAUACCUUACAACUCAGGCAAGAACUCCUUCUUUGACUGAUCCAUCUUGAACACCUUCAAGAUCACGUCAAGGCAUGUGCUCACGUCAAGAUCACGUCGGUAUACCGAUACCUUGUUCAAUCUCGUUACCGGCAAGUCUCUUUACUCGUUCCGUAACACAUCAUCCCGUGAUCAACCCCUUGGUCACAUUGUGCACAUUAUGAUGAUGUCCUACCGAGUGGGCCCAGAGAUACCUCUCCGUUUACACGGAGUGACAAAAUCCCAAUCUCGAUUCGUGCCAACCCAACAGACACUUUCAGAGAUACCCGUAGUGUACCUUUAUAGCCACCCAGUUACGUUGUGACGUUUGGCACACCCAAAGCACUCCUACGGUAUCCGGGAGUUGCACAAUCUCAUGGUCUAAGGAAAUGAUACUUGACAUUAGAAAAGCUUUAGCAUACGAACUACAUGAUCUUGUGCUAGGCUUAGGAUUGGGUCUUGUCCAUCACAUCAUUCUCCUAAUGAUGUGAUCCCGUUAUCAACGACAUCCAAUGUCCAUGGUCAGGAAACCGUAACCAUCUAUUGAUUAACGAGCCAGUCAACUAGAGGCUUACUAGGGACAUGGUGUUGUCUAUGUAUCCACACAUGUAUCUGAGUUUCCUAUCAAUACAAUUCUAGCAUGGAUAAUAAACGAUUAUCAUGAACAAGGAAAUAUAAUAAUAAUCAAUUUAUUAUUGCCUCUAGGGCAUAUUUCCAACAGUCUCCCACUUGCACUAGAGUCAAUAAUCUAGUUCACAUCACCAUGUGAUUAACACUGACAGGUCACAUCACCAUGUGACCAACAUCCAAAGAGUCUUGGGUUUGAUCAUGUUGCUUGUGAGAGAGGUUAUAGUCAACGGGUCUGAACCUUUCAGAUCCGUGUGUGCUUUACAAAUCUCUAUGUCAUCUCCUAGAUGCAGCUACCACGUUCUAUUUGGAGCUAUUCCAAAUAACUGUUCUACUUGGAGCUAUUCUAAAUUGUUGCUCCAUUAUACGUAUCCGGUAUCUCUACUCAGAGCUAUCCGGAUAGGUGUUAAGCUUGCAUCGACGUAACCCUUUACGACGAACUCUUUUACCACCUCCAUAAUUGAGAAAAUUCCUUAGUCCACUAGUUACUAAGGAUAACUUUGACCGCUGUCCUGCGAUCCAUUCUUGGAUCACCCUUGUACCCCUUGACUGACUCAUGGUAAAGCACACUUCAGGUGCGGUACACAGCAUAGCAUACUGUAGAGCCUAUGUCUUAAGCAUAGGGGAUGACCUUCGUUCCUUUCUCUCUAUUCUGCCAUGGUCGAGCUUUAAGUCUUAACUUCAUACCUUACAACUCAGGCAAGAACUCCUUCUUUGACUGGUCCAUCUUGAACACCUUCAAGAUCAUGUCAAGGUAUGUGCUCAUUUGAAAGUACUAUUAAGCGUUUUGAUCUAUCCUUAUAGAUCUUGAUGCUCAAUGUUCAAGUAGCUUAAUCCAGGUUUUCCAUUGAAAACACUUUCCAAAUAACCCUAUAUGCUUUCCAGAAAUUCUACGUCAUUUCUGAUCAUUAAUAUGUCAACAACAUAUAAUCAUCAGAAAUUCUAUAGUGCUCCCACUCACUUCUUUGGAAAUACAAGUUUCUCAUAAACUUUGUAUACACCCAAAAUCUUUGAUCAUCAUCAAAGCAUACAUUCCAACUCCGAGAUGCUCACUCCAGUCCUCAGAAGGAUUGCUGGAGCUUUGCAUACUUAUUAGCAUAUUUCAGGAUAGACAAAACCUUCCAGUUGUAUCACAUACAACCUUUCCUCAAGAAUCGUCGACGAAACAAUGUUUUGACAUCCUAUCUGCAAGAUUUCAUAAAUAAUGCAGUAAUUGUUAAUAUAAUUCCAACAGACUCUUAGCAUCGCUACGAGUGAGAAAGUCUCAUUGUAGUCAACUCCUUGAACUUGUCAAAAAACAUCUUAACGACAAGUCGAGCUUUCUCAAUGGUGACACUUACCAUCAUUGUCUGUCUUCCUUUCAAAAUCCAUAUGUACCUAACAGCCUUACGACCAUCAAGUAGUUCUUCCAAAGUCUACACUUUGUUUUCAUACAUGGAUCCUCUCUCGGGUUUUAUGGCCAUGAGCCAUUUAUCGGAAUCCGGGCCCACCAUUGCUUCUCCAUAGCUCGUAGGUUCAUUGUUGUCUAGCAACAUGACUUCCAAGACAGGAUUACUGUACCACUCUGAAGUAGUACGUAUCCUUGUCACCCUACGAGGUUUGGGAGUGACUUGAUCUGAAGUUUCAUGAUCACUAUCAUAAGCUUCUACUUCAAUUGGUGUAGGUGCCACAGGAACAACUUCCUGUGCCCUGCUACACACUGGUUGAAGUGAUGGUUCAAUAACCUCAUCAAGUCUCCACCAUCCUCCCACUCAAUUCUUUCGAGAGAAACCUUUCCUCGAGAAAGGACCCAAUUCUAGAAACAAUUCAUAUUGCUUUCGGAUCUGAAUUAGGAAGUAUACCCAACUGUUUUGGGUGUCCUAUGAAGAUGUACUUUAUCCGCUUUGGUUUCGAGCUUAAUCCUGAAACUUUUUCACAUAAGUGUCGCAGCCCCAAACCUUUAAGAAACGACAACUUAGGUUUCUCUAAACCAUAAUUCAUACGGUGUCAUCUCAUCGGAAUUACGUGGUGCCCUAUUUAAAGUGAAUGUGGUUGUCUUUAAUGCCUAACCCAUAAACUAUCGUGGCAGUUCGAUAAGAGACAUCAUGGUAUGCAUCAUAUCCAAUAGGGUGCAACUAUGAUGUUCGGACACACCAUCACACUAUGGUGUUCCAGGCGGUAUUAAUUGUGAAACAAUUUCCACAAUGUCUUAAUUGUGUGCCAAAACUCGUAACUCAGAUACUCAUCUCUAUGAUCAUAUCAUAGACAUUUUAUCCUCUUGUCACAAUGAUCUUCUACUUCACUCUGAAAUUACUUGAACCAUUCAACAAUUCAGACUUGUGUUUCAUCAAGUAAAUAUUCUCAACAUCUACUCGAAUCAUCUGUGAAGUAAGAACAUAACGAUAUUCACUGCAUGCCUCAGCACUCAUUGGACUGCACACAUCAAAAUGUGUUACUUCCAACAAGUUGCUAUCUUGUUCCAUCUUACUGAAAACGAGGCUUUUCAGUCAUCUUGCCCAUGUGGUAUGAUUUGCAUGUCCCAAGUGAUUCAAAAAUCAAGUGAGUCAAAACGGUCCAUUUGCAUGGAGUUUCUUCAUGCAUAUACACCAAUAGACAUGGUUCGCAUGUCUCAAACUUUUCAAAAACGAGUGAGCCCAAAGAUCCAUCAAUAUGGAGCUUCUUCAUGCGUUUUAUACCGAUAUGACUUACGUGGUAGUGCCACAAGUAGGUGGUACUAUCAUUACUAUCUUUUGGCAUGAACAUGUGUAUCACUACGAUCGAGAUUUAAUAAACCAUUCAUUUUAGGUGUAAGACCAUUGAAGGUAUUAUUCAAAUAAACAGAGUAACCAUUAUUCUCCUUAAAUGAAUAACCGUAUUGCGAUAGACGUAAUCCAAUCAUGUCUAUGCUCAACGCAAACACCAAAUAACAAUUAUUUAGGUUUAACACCAAUCUCUUUGGUAGAGGGAGCGUGCGAUGCUUGAUCAUAUCAAGCAUGGAAAAACUUACAACACAUAUCGUCAGCUCACCUUUAGCUAGUCUCUGUUUAUUCCGUAGCCUUUUGUUUCGAGUUACUAACACUUAGCAACCGAACUGGUAUCUAAUACCCUGGUGCUACUAGGAGUACUAGCAAAGUACACAUUAACACAAUGUAUAUCCAAUAUACUUCUAUCGACCUUGCCAGCCUUCUUAUCUACCAAGUAUCUAGGGUAAUUCUGCUCUAGUAGUUGUUCCCCUUAUUACAGAAGCACUUAGUCUCGGGUUUGGGUUUUACCUUGGGUUUCUUCACUAGAGCAGCAGCUGAUUUGCCGUUUCAUGAAGUAUCCCUUCUUGCCCUUGCCCUUCUUGAAACUAGUGGUUCCACCAACCAUCAACAAUUGAUGCUCCUUCUUGAUUUCUACUUUCGCGGUGUCAAACAUCGCGAAUACCUCAAGGAUCAUCAUAUCUAUCCCUGAUAUGUUAUAGUUCAUCAUGAAGCUCUAACAGCUUGGUGGCAAUGACUUUGGAGAACCAUCACUAUCUCAUCUGGAAGAUCAACUCCCACUCGAUUCAAGCGAUUGUUGUACUCAGACAAUCUGAGCACAAGCUCAACGAUUGAGCUUUUCUCCCUUAGUUUGCAGGUUAAGAAAGUCAUCGGAGGUCUUAUACCUCUUGACAUGGGCACGAGCCUGAAAUCCCAAUUUCAGCCCUCAAAACAUCUCAUAUGUUUCGCGAUGUUUCAAAAACGUCUUUGGUGCCUCAACUCUAAACCGUUUAACUGAACUAUCACGUAGUUAUCAAAACGUGUAUGUCAGAUGUUCGCAACAACCACAGACAACGUUCGAGGUUCAGCACACUGAGCGGUGCAUUAAGGACAUAAGCCUUCUAUGAAGCAAUGAGGACAAUCCUCAGUUUACGGACCUAGUCCGCAUAAUUGCUACUAUCAACUUUCAACUAAUUUUUCUCUAGGAACAUAUCUAAACAGUAGAACUAUAGCGUGAGCUACGACAUAAUUUGCAAAAACCUUUUGACUAUGUUCAGGAUAAUUAAGUUCAUCUUAUGAACUCCCACUCAGAUAGACAUCCCUCUAGUCAUCUAAGUGAUUACAUGAUCCGAGUCAAACUAGGCCGUGUCCGAUCAUCACGUGAGACGGACUAGUCAUCAUCGGUGAACAUCUUCAUGUUGAUCGUAUCUUCUAUACGACUCAUGUUCGACCUUUCGGUCUUCGUGUUCCGAGGCCAUGUAUGUACAUGCUAGGCUCGUCAAGUUAACCCUAAGUGUUUCGCGUGUGUAAAUCUGUCUUACACCCGUUGUAUGUGAACGUUAGAAUCUAACACCCGAUCAUCACGUGGUGCUUCGAAACACGAACUGUCGCAACGGUGCACAGUUAGGGGAGAACACUUCUUGAAAUUGUUGUAAGGGAUCAUCUUAUUUACUACCGUCGUUCUAAGCAAAUAAGAUGUAUAAACAUGAUAAACAUCACAUGCAAUCAAAUAGUGACAUGAUAUGGCCAUCAUCACUUUGCUCCUUUUGAUCUCCAUCUUCGGGGCUCCAUGAUCAUCAUCGUCACCGGCAUGACACCAUGAUCUCCAUCAUCAUGAUCUCCAUCAUCGUGUCUUCAUGAAGUUGCCUCGCCAACUAUUACUUCUACUACUAUGGCUAACGGUUAGCAAUAAAGUAAAGUAAUUACAUGACGUUUAAGUUGACACGCAGGUCACAAAUGAAUAAAGACAACUCCUAUGGCUCCUGCCGGUUGUCAUACUCAUCGACAUGCAAGUCGUGAUUCCUAUUACAAGAACAUGAUCAAUCUCAUACAUCACAUAUAUCAUUCAUCACAUCCUUUUUGGCCAUAUCACAUCACAUAGCAUACCCUGCAAAAACAAGUUAGACGUCCUCUAAUUGUUGUUUGCAUGUUUUACGUGGCUGCUAUGGGUUUCUAGCAAGAACGUUUCUUACCUACGCAUGAACAACAACGUGAUAUGCCAAUUGCUAUUUACCCUUCAUAAGGACCCUUUUCAUCGAAUCCGAUCCGACUAAAGUGGGAGAGACAGACACCCGCCAGCCACCUUAUGCAACUAGUGCAUGUUUGUCGGUGGAACCGGUCUCACGUAAGCGUACGUGUAAGGUUGGUCCGGGCCGCUUCAUCCCACGAUGCCGCCGAAUCAAGAUAAGACUAGUAACGGCAAGCAUAUUGAACAAUAUCAACGCCCACAACUACUUUGUGUUCUACUCGUGCAAAGAAUCUACGCAAUAGACCUAGCUCAUGAUGCCACUGUUGGGGAACGUAGCAGAAAUUCAAAAUUUUCCUACGUGUCACCAAGAUCUAUCUAUGGAGAUACUAGCAACGAGGGAAGGAGAGUGCAUCUACAUACCCUUGUAGAUCGCUAAGCGGAAGCGUUCAAGUGAACGGGGUUGAUGGAGUCGUACUCGUCGUGAUUCAGAUCACCGAUGAUCCUAGUGCCGAACGGACGGCACCUCCGCGUUCAACACACGUACAGCUCGACGAUGUCUCCCACGCCUUGAUCCAGCAAGGAGAGAGGGAGAGGUUGAGGAAGACUCCAUCCAGCAGCAGCACAACGGCGUGGUGGUGAUGGAGGAGCGUGGCAAUCCUGCAGGGCUUCGCCAAGCACCUACGGGAGAGGAGGAGGUGUCACGGGAGGGAGGGAGGCGCCAAGGGCUCAGGUAUAGAUGCCCUCCCUCCCCUCCACUAUAUAUAGGGGCAAGGGAGAGGGGGAGGCGCAUCCUUGCCCCUUCCUCCAAGGAAGGGGUGCGGCUAAGAGGGGGGGAGGAGUCCAUCCUCCCCAAGGCACCUCGGAGGUGCCUUCCCCCUUUAGGACUCUCCCCUUUUUCCUAUAUCUUGGCGCAUGGGCCUCUAGGGGCUGGUGCCCUUGGCCCAUGUAGGCCAAGGCGCACCCCCCUACAGCCCAUGUGGCCCCCCGGGGCAGGUGGCCCCACCCGGUGGGCCCCCGGGACCCUUCCGGUGGUCCCGGUACAAUACCGAUGACCCCGAAACUUGUCCCGAUGGCCGAAACAGGACUUCCUAUAUAUAAAUCUUUACCUCCGGACCAUUCCGGAACUCCUCGUGACGUCCGGGAUCUCAUCCGGGACUCCGAACAACAUUCGGUAACCACAUACAAACUUCCUUUAUAACCCUAGCGUCAUCGAACCUUAAGUGUGUAGACCCUACGGGUUCGGGAGACAUGUAGUCAUGACCGAGAUGUUCUCCGGUCAAUAACCAACAGCGGGAUCUGGAUACCCAUGUUGGCUCGCACAUGUUCCACGAUGAUCUCAUCGGAUGAACCACGAUGUCAAGGACUCAAUCAAUCCCGUAUACAAUUCCCUUUGUCUAGCGGUAUGGUACUUGCCCGAGAUUCGAUCGUCGGUAUACCGAUACCUUGUUCAAUCUCGUUACCGGCAAGCCUCUUUACUCGUUCCGUAACACAUCAUCCCGUGAUCAACCCCUUGGUCACAUUGUGCACAUUAUGAUGAUGUCCUACCGAGUGGGCCCAGAGAUACCUCUCCGUUUACACGGAGUGACAAAAUCCCAAUCUCGAUUCGUGCCAACCCAACAGACACUUUCAGAGAUACCCGUAGUGUACCUUUAUAGCCACCCAGUUACGUUGUGACGUUUGGCACACCCAAAGCACUCCUACGGUAUCCGGGAGUUGCACAAUCUCAUGGUCUAAGGAAAUGAUACUUGACAUUAGAAAAGCUUUAGCAUACGAACUACAUGAUCUUGUGCUAGGCUUAGNNNNNNNNNNUGAUCAACCCCUUGGUCACAUUGUGCACAUUAUGAUGAUGUCCUACCGAGUGGGCCCAGAGAUACCUCUCCGUUUACACGGAGUGACAAAAUCCCAAUCUCGAUUCGUGCCAACCCAACAGACAUUUUCAGAGAUACCCGUAGUGUACCUUUAUAGCCACCCAGUUACGUUGUGACGUUUGGCACACCCAAAGCACUCCUACGGUAUCCGGGAGUUGCACAAUCUCAUGGUCUAAGGAAAUGAUACUUGACAUUAGAAAAGCUUUAGCAUACGAACUACAUGAUCUUGUGCUAGGCUUAGGAUUGGGUCUUGUCCAUCACAUCAUUCUCCUAAUGAUGUGAUCCCGUUAUCAACGACAUCCAAUGUCCAUGGUCAGGAAACCGUAACCAUCUAUUGAUUAACGAGCUAGUCAACUAGAGGCUUACUAGGGACAUGGUGUUGUCUAUGUAUCCACACAUGUAUCUGAGUUUCCUAUCAAUACAAUUCUAGCAUGGAUAAUAAACGAUUAUCAUGAACAAGGAAAUAUAAUAAUAAUCAAUUUAUUAUUGCCUCUAGGGCAUAUUUCCAACAAGAAACGGGGAACAAACUGAUGAAAGAAUGAUCAUACCGAGGGAAUUCACUCAGAACUAACAAGAAUGAUAACGUGCUUUGACUGGAGCGGUUUAAAAACUGCUGGAAGGCUCUAGGGGAAUAAAGAUGGAAUGCCUUCAAAUUUCUAGGUCCGUAUGAUUUGAAAUACUUGCACACAAACCGCGCGAAAGCGUUCCUGGAAAUCUCAGCCCAAAAAAGGACGUUUAGUAAUUCUAAAAGGGACUACAGAAUGAAAAACAAUAGUUUUGGCAGUUAAAGUUUGAGAUUCGAUGGUGCCGUAGAUCCGUUUGGUCAUCAGGUGUAACGAGCCACACCCAUGUCUAGCUAGAGUAGUGUGCUAGGCUCAGGCUAGAGAAGAAACGGGGAACAAACUGAUGAAAGAAUGAUCAUACCGAGGGAAUUCACUCAGAACUAACAAGAAUGAUAACGUGCUCCGACUGGAGCGGUUUAGGAACUGCUGGAAGGCUCUAGGGGAAGAAAGAAGGAAUGACUUCUAAUUUUUAGGUCCGUAUGAUUUGAAAUACGUGCACACAAACCGCGCGAAAGCGUUCCUGGAAAUCUCAGCCCAAAAAAGGACGUUUAGUAUUCUAAAAGGGACUACAGAAUGAAAAACAAUAGUUUUGGCAGUUAAAGUUUGAGAUUCGACGGUGCCGUAGAUCCGUUUGGUCAUCAGGUGUUACGAGCCACACCCAUGUCUAGCUAGAAUAGUGUGCNNNNNNNNNNNNNNNNNNNNNNNNNCGUAUGAUUUGAAAUACGUGCACACAAACCGCGCGAAAGCGUUCCUGGAAAUCUCAGCCCAAAAAAGGACGUUUAGUAUUCUAAAAGGGACUACAGAAUGAAAAACAAUAGUUUUGGCAGUUAAAGUUUGAGAUUCGACGGUGCUGUAGAUCCGUUUGGUCAUCAGGUGUUACGAGCCACACCCAUGUCUAGCUAGAAUAGUGUGCUAGGCUCAGGCUAGAGAAGAAAAGGGGAACAAACUAAUGAAAGAAUGAUCAAUACGAGGGAAUUCACUCAGAACUAACAAUAAUGAUAACGUGCUCCGACUGGAGCGGUUUAGGAACUGCUGGAAGGCUCUAGGCGAAUAAAGAUGGAAUGACUUCUAAUUUUUACGUCCGUAUGAUUUGAAAUACUUGCACACAAACCACGCAAAAGCGUUCCUGGAAAUCUCGGCCUAAAAAGGACGUUUAGUAAUUCUAAAAGGGACUACAGGAUGAAAAAUAAUAGUUUGGGCAGUUAAAAUUUGAGAUUCGACGGUGCCGUAGAUCCGUUUGGUCAUCAGGUGUUACGAGCCACACCCAUGUCUAGCUAGAAUAGUGUGUUAGGCUCAGGCUAGAGAAGAAACGAGGAACAAACUGAUGAAAGAAUGAUCAUACCAAGGGAAUUCACUCAGAACUAACAAGAAUGAUAACGUGCUCCGACUGGAGCAGUUUAGAAACUGCUGGAAGGCUCUAGGGGAAUAAAGAUGGAAUGACUUCUGAUUUUUAGGUCCGUAUGAUUUGAAAUACGUGCACACAAACCCCGCGAAAGCGUUCCUGGAAAUCUCAGCCCAAAAAAGGACGUUUAGUAAUUCUAAAAGGGACUACAACAUGAAAAACAAUAGUUUUGGCAGUUAAAGUUUGAGAUUUCAUGGUGCCGUAGAUCUGUUUGGUCAUCAGGUGUUACGAGCCACACCCAUGUCUAGCUAGAAUAGUGUGUUAGGCUCAGGCUAGAAAAGAAACGGGAAACAAAGUGAUGAAAGAAUGACCAUACCGAGGGAAUUCACUCAGAACUAACAAGAAUGAUAACAUGCUCCGACUUGAGCGGUUUAGGAACUGCUGGAAGGCUCUAGGGGAAUAAAGAUGGAAUGACUUCUAAUGUUUAGGUCCGUAUGAUUUGAAAUACUUGCACAUAAACCGCACAAAAGCGUUCCUGGAAAUCUCAGCCCAAAAAAGGACGUUUAGUAAUUCUAAAAGGGACUACAGGAUGAAAAACAAUAGUUUUGGCAGUUAAAGUUUGAGAUUCGACGGUGCCGUAGAUCCGUUUGGUCAUCAGGUGUUACGAGCCACACCCAUGUCUAGCUAGAAUAGUGUGUUAGGCUCAGGCUAGAGAAGAAACUUGGAACAAACUGAUGAAAGAAUGAUCAAACCAACGGAAUUCACUCAGAACUAACAAUAAUGAUAACGUGCUCCGACUGGAGCAGUUUAGGAACUGCUGGAAGGCUCUAGGGGAAUAAAGAUGGAAUGACUUCUAAUUUUUAGGUCCGUAUGAUUUGAAAUACUUGCACGCAAACCGCGCGAAAGCGUUCCUGGAAAUAUCAGCCCAAAAAAGGACGUUUAGUAAUUCUAAAAGGGACUACAGGAUGAAAACAAUAGUUUUGGCAGUUAAAGUUUGAGAUUCAACAGUGCCGUAGAUCCGUUUGGUCAUCAGGUGUUAUGAGCCAUACCCAUGUCUAGCUAGAGUAGUGUGCUAGGCUCAGGCUAGAGAAGAAACAGGGAACAAACUGAUGAAAGAAUGAUCAUACCGAGGGAAUUCACUCAGAACUAACAAGAAUGAUAACGUGCUCCGACUGGAGCGGUUUAGGAACUGCUGGAAGGCUCUAGGGGAAUAAAGAUGGAGUGACUUCUAAAUUUUUAGGUCCGUAUGAUUUAAAAUACUUGCACACAAACCGCACGAAAGCGUUCCUUGAAAUCUCAGCCCAAAAAAGGACGUUUAGUAAGUCUAAAAGGGACUAUAGGAUGAAAAACAAUAGUUUUGGCAGUUAAAGUUUGAGAUUCGAUGGUGCCGUAGAUCUGUUUGGUCAUCAGGUGUUACGAGCCACACCCAUGUCUAGUUGGAAUAGUGUGCUAGGCUCAGACUAGAGAAGAAACAGGGAACAAACUGAUGAAAGAAUGAUCAAACCGAGGAAAUUCACUCAGAACUAACAAUAAUGAUAACAUGCUCCGACUGGAGCGGUUUAGGAACUGCUGGAAGGCUCUAGGGGAAUAAAGAUGGAAUGACUUCUAAAUUUUUAGGUCCGUAUGAUUUGAAAUAGUUGCACACAAACUGCGCGAAAGCGUUCCUGGAAAUCUCAGCCCAAAAAAGGACGUUUAGUAAUUCUAAAAGGGACUAUAGGAUGAAAAACAAUAGUUUUGGCAGUUAAAGUUUGAGAUUCGACGGUGCCGUAGAUCCGUUUGGUCAUCACGUGUUACAAGCCACACCCAUGUCUAGCUAGAGUAGUGUGCUAGGCUCAGACUAUAGAAGAAACGGGGACCAAACUGAUGAAAGAAUGAUCAAACCGAGGAAAUUCACUCAGAACUAACAAUAAUGAUAACAUGCUCCGACUGGAGCGGUUUAGGAACUACUGGAAGGCUCUAGGGGAAUAAAGAUGGAAUGACUUCUAAAUUUUUAGGUCCGUAUGAUUUUAAAUAGUUGCACACAAACUGCGCGAAAGCGUUCCUGGAAAUCUCAGCCCAAAAAAGGACGUUUAGUAAUUCUAAAAGGGACUACAGGAUGAAAAACAAUAGUUUGGGCAGUUAAAAUUUGAGAUUCGACGGUGCCGUAGAUCCGUUUGGUCAUCAGGUGUUACGAGCCACACCCAUGUCUAGCUAGAGUAGUGUGCUAGGCUCAGGCUAGAGAAGAAACAGGGAACAAACUGAUGAAAGAAUGAUCAUACCGAGGGAAUUCACUCAGAACUAACAAGAAUGAUAACGUGCUCUGACUGGAGCGGUUUAAGAACUGUUGGAAGGCUCUAGGGGAAUAAAGAUGGAAUCACUUCAAAUUUUUACGUCCGUGUGAUUUGAAAUACUUGCACACAAACCGCACGAAAGCGUUCCUGGAAAUCUCAGCCCAAAAAAGGACGUUUAGUAAGUCUAAAAGGGACUACACGAUGAAAAACAAUAGUUUUGGCAGUUAAAGUUUGAGAUUCGACAGUGCCGUAGAUCCGUUUGGUCAUCAGGUGUAACGAGCCACACCCAUGUCUAGAUAGAGUAGUGUGCUAGGCUCAAACUAGAGAAGAAACGGGGAACAAACUGAUGAAAGAAUGAUCAUACCGAGGGAAUUCACUCAGAAAUAACAAGAAUGAUAACGUGCUCUGACUGGAGCGGUUUAGGAACUGCUGGAAGGCUCUAGGGGAAUAAAGAAGGAAUGACUUCUAAUUUUUAGGUCCGUAUGAUUUGAAAUACGUGCACACAAACCCCGAGAAAGCGUUCCUGGAAAUCUCGACCCAAAAAAGGACGUUUAGUAAUUCUAAAAGGGACUACGGGAUGAAAAACAAUAGUUUUGGCAGUUAAAGUUUGAGAUUCGAUAAUGCCGUAGAUCCAUUUGGUCAUCAGGUGUAACGAGCCACACCCAUGUCUAGCUAGAGUAGUGUGCUAGGCUCAGACUAGAGAAGAAACAGGGAACAAACUGAUGAAAGAAUGAUCAUAUCGAGGGAAUUCACUCAGAACUAACAAGAAUGAUAACAUGCUCCGACUUGAGCGGUUUAGGAACUGCUGGAAGGCUCUAGGGGAAUAAAGAUGGAAUGACUUCUAAUUUUUAGGUCCGUAUGAUUUGAAAUACUUACACACAAACCACGCGAAAGCGUUCCUGGAAAUCUCAGCCCAAAAAAGGACGUUUAGUAAUUCUAAAAGGGACUACAUGAUGAAAAACAAUAGUUUUCGCAGUUAAAGUUUGAGAUUCGACGGUGCCGUAGAUCCGUUUGGUCAUCAAGUGUUACGAGCCACACCCAUGUCUAGCUAGAAUAGUGUGUUAGGCUCAGCCUAGAGAAGAAACGGGGAACAAACUGAUGAAAGAAUGAUCAUACCGAGGGAAUUCACUCAGAACUUACAAGAAUGAUAACGUGCUCCGACUUGAGCGGUUUAAGAACUGUUGGAAGGCUCUAGGGGAAUAAAGAUGGAAUCACUUCAAAUUUUUACGUCCGUGUGAUUUGAAAUACUUGCACACAAACCCCGAGAAAGCGUUCCUGGAAAUCUCGGCCGAAAAAAGGAUGUUUAAUAAUUCUAAAAGGGACUACAGGAUGAAAAACAAUAGCUUUGGCAGUUAAAGUUUGUGAUUCGAUGGUGCCGUAGAUCUGUUUGGUCAUCAGGUGUUAUGAGCCACACCCAUGUCUAGCUAGAAUAGUGUGUUAGGCUCAGGCUAGAGCAGAAACUAGGAACAAACUUAUGAAAGAAUGAUCAUACCGAGGGAAUUCACUCAGAACUAACAAGAAUGAUAACGUGCUCCGACUGGAGCGGUUUAGGAACUGCUGGAAGGCUCUAGGGGAAUAAAGAUGGAAUGACUUCUAAUUUUUAGGUCCGUAUGAUUUGAAAUACAUGCACACAAACCCCAAGAAAGCGUUCCUAGAAAUCUCAGCCCAAAAAGGACGUUUAGUAAUUCUAAAAGGGACUACAGGAUGAAAAACAAUAGGUUUGGCAGUUAAAGUUUGAGAUUCGAUAAUGCCGUAGAUCCGUUUGGUCAUCAGGUGUAACGAGCCACACCCAUGUCUAGCUACAUUAGUGUGCUAGGCUCAGACUAGAGAAGAAACGGGGAACAAACUGAUGAAAGAAUGAUCAUACCGAGGGAAUUCACUCAGAACUAACAAGAACGAUAACAUGCUCCGACUGCAGCGGUUUAGGAACUGCUGGAAGGCUCUAGGGGAAUAAAGAAGGAAUGACUUCUAAUUUUUAGGUCCGUAUGAUUUGAAAUACUUGCACACAAACCGCGCGAAAGCAUUCCUGGAAAUCUCAGCCCAAAAAAGGACGUUUAGUAAUUCUAAAAGGGACUACAGGAUGAAAAACAAUAAUUUUGGCAGUUAAAGUUUGAGAUUCGACGGUGCCGUAGAUCCGUUUGGUCAUCAGGUGUUACGGGCCAUACCCAUGUCUAGCUAGAAUAGUGUGUUAGGCUCAGGUUAGAGAAGAAACGGGGAACAAAGUGAUGAAAGAAUGAUCAUACCGAGGGAAUUCACUCAGAACUAACAAGAAUGAUAACGUGCUCCGACUGGAGCGGUUUAGGAAUUGCUGGAAGGCUCUAGGGGAAUAAAGAUGGAAUGACUUCUAUAUUUUACGUCCGUAUGAUUUGAAAUACUUGCACACAAACCACGCAAAAGCACUCCUGGAAAUAUCAGCCUAAAAAGGAUGUUUAGUAAUUCUAAAAGGGACUACAGGAUGAAAAAUAAUAGUUUUGGCAGUUAAAAUUUGAGAUUCAACGGUGCCGUAAAUCCGUUUGGUCAUCAGGUGUUACGAGCCACACCCAUGUCUAGCUAGAAUAGUGUGUUAGGCUCAGGUUAGAGAAGAAACGGGGAACAAACUGAUGAAAGAAUGAUCAUACAAGGGGAAUUCACUCAGAACUAUCAAGAAUGAUAACGUGCUCCGACUGGAGCAGUUUAGGAACUGCCGGAAGGCUCUAGGGGAAUAAAGAUGGAAUGACUUCUAAUUUUUAUGUCCGUAUGAUUUGAAAUACUUGCACACAAACCACGCAAAAGCGUUCCUGGAAAUCUCAGCCUAAAAAGGACGUUUAGUAAUUCUAAAAGGGACUACAGGAUGAAAAACAAUAGUUUGGGCAGUUAAAAUUCGAGAUUCGACGGUGCCGUAGAUCCGUUUGGUCAUCAGGUGUUACGAGCCACACCCAUGUCUAGCUAGAAUAGUGUGUUAGGCUCAGGCUAGAGAAGAAACGGGGAACAAACUGAUGAAAGAAUGAUCAUAUCGAGGGAAUUCACUCAGAACUAACAAGAAUGAUAACGUGCUCCGACUGGAGCGGUUUAGUAACUGCUGGAAGGCUCUAGGGGAAUAAAGAUGGAAUGACUUCUAAUUAUUAGGUCCGUAAGAUUUGAAUUACAUGCACACAAACCCCGAGAAAGCGUUCCUGGAAAUCUCGGUCGAAAAAAGGAUGUUUAGUAAUUCUAAAAGGGACUACAGGAUGAAAAACAAUAGUUUUGGCAGUUAAAGUUUGUGAUUCGAUGGUGCCGUAGAUCUGUUUGGUCAUCAGGUGUUACGAGCCACACCCAUGUCUAGCUAGAAUAGUGUGUUAGGCUCAGGCUAGAGCAGAAACGGGGAACAAACUUAUGAAAGAAUGAUCAUGCCGAGGGAAUUCACUCAGAACUAACAAGAAUGAUAACGUGCUCCGACUGGAGCGGUUUAGGAACUGCUGGAAGGCUCUAGGGGAAUAAAGAUGGAAUGACAUCAAAUUUUUAGGUCCGUAUGAUUUGAAAUACUUGCACACAAACCGCAAGAAAGCGUUCUUGGAAAUCUCCGCCCAAAAAAGGACGUUUAGUAAUUCUAAAAGGGUCUACAGGAUGAAAAACAAUAGUUCUGGCAGUUAAAGUUUGAGAUUCGAUAAUGUCGUAGAUCCGUUUGGUCAUCAGGCGUAACGAGCCACACCCAUUUCUAGCUAGAGUAGUGUGCUAGGCUCAGACUAGAGAAGAAACGGGGAACAACCUGAUGAAAGAAUGAUCAUACCGAGGGAAUUCACUCAGAACUAACAAGAAUGAUAACGUGCUCCGACUGGAGCGGUUUAGGAACUGCUGGAAGGCUCUACGGGAAUAAAGAAGGAAUGACUUCUAAUUUUUAGGUCCGUAUGAUUUGAAAUACGUGCACACAAACCCCGAGAAAGCGUUCCUGGAAAUCUCGGCCCAAAAAAGGACGUUUAGUAUUCUAAAAGCGACUACAGAAUGAAAAACAAUAGUUUUGGUAGUUAAAGUUUGAGAUUUAACGGUGCCGUAGAUCUGUUUGGUCAUCAGGUGUUACGAGCCACACCCAUGUCUAGCUAGAAUAGUGUGUUAGGCUCAGGCUAGAUAAGAAACAGGGAACAAAGUGAUGAAAGAAUGAUCAUACCAAGGGAAUUCACUCAGAACUAACAAGAACGAUAACAUGCUCCGACUGGAGUGGUUUAGGAACUGCUGGAAGGCUCUAGGGGAAUAAAGAUGGAAUGACUUCUAAUUUUUAGGUCUGUAUGAUUUGAAAUACUUGCACACAAACCGCACGAAAGCGUUCCUGGAAAUCUCAUCCCAAAAAAGGACGUUUAGUAAUUCUAAAAGGGACUACAGGAUGAAAAACAAUAGUUUUGGCAGUUAAAGUUUGAGAUUCGAUAAUGCUGUAGAUCCGUUUGGUCAUCAGGUGUAACGAGCCACACCCAUGUCUAGCUAGAGUAGUGUGCUAGGCUCAGACUAGAGAAGAAACGGGGAACAAACUGAUGAAAGAAUGAUCAUACCGAGGGAAUUCACUCAGAACUAACAAUAAUGAUAACGUGCUCCGACUGGAGCGGUUUAGGAACUGCUGGAAGGCUCUAGGGGAAUAAAGAUGGAAUGAGUUCUAAUUUUUAGGUCUGUAUGAUUUGAAAUACUUGCACACAAACCGCGUGAAAGCAUUCCUGGAAAUUUCAGCCCAAAAAAGGACGUUUAGUAAUUUUAAAAGGGACUACACGAUGAAAAACAAUAGUUUUGGCAGUUAAAGUUUGAGAUUCGACGGUGCCGUAGAUCCGUUUGGUCAUCAGGUGUUACGAGCCACACCCAUGUCUAGCUAGAAUAGUAUGUUAGGCUCGGGUAAGAGAAGAAACGGGGAACAAACUGAUGAAAGAAUGAUCAUACCAAGGGAAUUCACUCAGAACUAACAAGAAUGAUAACGUGCUCCGACUGGAGCGGUUUAGGAACUGCUGGAAGGCUCUAGGGGAAUAAAGAUGGAAUGACUUCUAAUUUUUACGUUCGUAUGAUUUGAAAUACUUGCACACAAACCACGCAAAAGCGUUCCUGGAAAUCUCAUCCUAAAAAAGGACGUUUAGUAAUUCUAAAAGGGACUACAGGAUGAAAAAUAAUAGUUUGGGCAGUUAAAAUUUGAGAUUCGACGGUGCCGUAGAUCCGUUUGGUCAUCAGGUGUUACGAGCCACACCCAUGUCUAGCUAGAAUAGUGUGUUAGGCUCAGGCUAGAGAAGAAACGGGGAACAAACUGAUGAAAGAAUGAUCAUAUCGAGGGAAUUCACUCAGAACUAACAAGAAUGAUAACGUGCUCCGACUGGAGCAGUUUAGAAACUGCUGGAAGGCUCUAGGGGAAUAAAGAUGGAAUGACUUCUAAUUUUUAGGUCUGUAUGAUUUGAAAUACGUGCACACGAACCCCGAGAAAGCGUUCCUGGAAAUCUCGGCCCAAAAAAGGACGUUUAGUAAUUCUAAAAGGGACUACAGGAUGAAAAACAAUAGUUUUGGCAGUUAAAGUUUGAGAUUCGACGGUGCCGUAGAUCCGUUUGUUCAUCAGGUGUUACGAGCCACACCCAUGUCUAGCUAGAAUAGUGUGUUAGGCUCAGGCUAGAGAAGAAACGGGGAACAAACUGAUGAAAGAAUGAUCAUACCGAGGGAAUUCACUCAGAACUAACAAGAAUGAUAACGUGCUCCGACUGGAGCGGUUUAGGAACUGCUAGAAGGCUCUAGGGGAAUAAAGAAGGAAUGACUUCUAAUUUUUAGGUCCGUAUGAUUUGAAAUACGUGCACACAAACCCCGAGAAAGCGUUCCUGGAAAUCUUGGCCCAAAAAAGGACGUUUAGUAUUCUAAAAGCGACUACAGAAUGAAAAACAAUAGUUUUGCUAGUUAAAGUUUGAGAUUUGAUGGUGCCGUAGAUCUGUUUGGUCAUCAGGUUUUACGAGCCACACCCAUGUCUAGCUAGAAUAGUGUGUUAGGCUCAGGCUAGAAAAGAAACAGGGAAUAAAGUGAUGAAAGAAUGAUCAUACCAAGGGAAUUCACUCAGAACUAACAAGAACGAUAACAUGCUCCGACUGGAGUGGUUUAGAACUGCUGGAAGGCUAAAGGGGAAUAAAGAUGGAAUGACUUCUAAUUUUUAGGUCCGUAUGAUUUGAAAUACUUGCACACAAACCGCACGAAAGUGUUCCUGGAAAUCUCAGCCCAAAAAAGGACGUUUAGUAAUUCUAAAAGGGACUACAGGAUGAAAAACAAUAGUUUUGGCAGUUAAAGUUUGAGAUUCGAUAAUGACGUAGAUCCGUUUGGUCAUCAGGUGUAACGAGCCACACCCAUGUCUAGCUAGAGUAGUGUGCUAGGCUCAGACUAGAGAAGAAACGGGGAACAAACUGAUGAAAGAAUGAUCAUACCGAGGGAAUUCACUCAGAACUAACAAUAAUGAUAACGUGCUCCGACUAGAGCGGUUUAGGAACUGCUGGAAGGCUCUAGGGGAAUAAAGAUGGAAUGACUUCUAAUUUUUAGGUCCCUAUGAUUUGAAAUACUUGCACACAAACCGCGUGAAAGCAUUCCUGGAAAUUUCAGCCCAAAAAAGGACGUUUAGUAAUUUUAAAAGGGACUACACGAUGAAAAAGAAUAGUUUUGGCAGUUAAAGUUUGAGAUUCGACGGUGCCGUAGAUCCGUUUGGUCAUCAGGUGUUACGAGACACACCCAUGUCUAGCUAGAAUAGUAUGUUAGGCUCGGGUUAGAGAAGAAACGGGGAACAAACUGAUGAAAGAAUGAUCAUACCAAGGGAAUUCACUCAGAACUAACAAGAAUGAUAACGUGCUCCGACUGGAGCGGUUUAGGAACUGCUGGAAGGCUCUAGGGGAAUAAAGAUGGAAUGACUUCUAAUUUUUACGUUCGUAUGAUUUGAAAUACUUGCAAACAAACCACGCAAAAGCGUUCCUGGAAAUUUCAUCCUAAAAAAGGACGUUUAGUAAUUCUAAAAGGGACUACAGGAUGAAAAAUAAUAGUUUGGGCAGUUAAAAUUUGAGAUUCGAUGGUGCCGUAGAUCCGUUUGGUCAUCAGGUGUUACGAGCCACACCCAUGUCUAGCUAGAAUAGUGUGUUAGGCUCAGGCUAGAGAAGAAACGGGGAACAAACUGAUGAAAGAAUGAUCAUAUCGAGGGAAUUCACUCAGAACUAACAAGAAUGAUAACGUGCUCCGACUGGAGCAGUUUAGAAACUGCUGGAAGGCUCUAGGGGAAUAAAGAUGGAAUGACUUCUAAUUUUUAGGUCUGUAUGAUUUGAAAUACGUGCACACAAACCCCGAGAAAGCGUUCCUGGAAAUCUCGUCCGGAAAAAGGAUGUUUAAUAAUUCUAAAAGGGACUACAGGAUGAAAAACAAUAGUUUUGGCAGUUAAAGUUUGUGAUUCGAUGGUGCCGUAGAUCUGUUUGGUCAUCAGGUGUUACGGGCCACACCCAUGUCUAGCUAGAAUAGUGUGUUAGGCUCAGGCUAGAGCAGAAACGGGGAGCAAACUUAUGAAAGAAUGAUCAUAGCGAGGGAAUUUACUCAGAACUAACAAGAAUGAUAACGUGCUCCGACUGGAGCGGUUUAGGAACUGCUGGAAGGCUCUAGGGGAAUAAAGAUGGAAUGACUUCAAAUUUUCAGGUAUGUAUGAUCUGAAAUACUUGCACACAAACCGCGAGAAAGCGUUCCUGGAAAUCUCAACCCAAAAAAGGAUGUUUAGUAAUUCUAAAAGGGACUACAGGAUUAAAAACAAUAGUUUUGGCAGUUAAAGUUUGAGAUUCGAUAAUGUCGUAGAUCCGUUUGGUCAUCAGGUGUAACGAGCCACACCCAUGUCUAGCUAGAGUAGUGUGCUAGGCUCAUACUAGAGAAGAAACGGGGAACAAACUGAUGAAAGAAUGAUCAUACCGAGGGAAUUCACUCAGAACUAACAAGAAUGAUAACGUGCUCCGACUGGAGCGGUUUAGGAACUGCUGGAAGGCUCUAGGGGAAUAAAGAUGGAAUGACUUCUUAUUUUUAGGUCCGUAUGAUUUGAAAUACAUGCACACAAACCCCAAGAAAGCGUUCCGGGAAAUCUCGGCCCAAAGAAUGAUGUUUAGUAAUUCUAAAAGGGACUAUAGAAUGAAAAACAAUAGUUUUGGCAGUUAAAGUUUGAGAUUUGACGGUGUCGUAGAUCUGUUUGGUCAUCAGGUGUUACGAGCCACACCCAUUUCUAGCUAGAAUAGUGUGUUAGGCUCAGGCUAGAAAAGAAACGGGGAACAAAGUGAUGAAAGAAUGAUCAUACCGAGGGAAUUCACUCAGAACUAACAAGAAUGAUAACAUGCUCCGACUAGAGCGGUUUAGGAACUGCUGGAAGGCUCUAGGGGAAUAAAUAUGGAAUGACUUCUAAUUUUCAGGUCCGUAUGAUUUGAAAUACUUGCACACAAACCGCGCGAAAGCGUUCCUGGAAAUCUCAUCCCAAAGAAGGUCGUUUAGUAAUUCUAAAAGGGACUACAGGAUGAAAAACAAUAGUUUUGGCAAUUUAAGGUUUGAGAUUCGACGGUGCCGUAGAUCCGUUUGGUCAUCAGGUGUUACGAGCCACACCCAUGUCUAGCUAGAAUAGUGUGCUAGGCUCAGGCUAGAGAAGAAACAGGGAACAAACUGAUGAAAGAAUGAUCAAACCGAGGGAAUUCACUCAGAACUAACAAUAAUGAUAACGUUCUCCGUCUGGAGCGGUUUAGGAACUGCUGGAAGGCUCUAGGGGAAUAAAGAUGGAAUGACUUCUAAUUUUUAGGUCCGUAUGAUUUGAAAUACUUGCACACAAACCGCGCCAAAUCGUUCCUGGAAAUCUCAGCCCAAAAAAGGACGUUUAGUAAUUCUAAAAGGGACUACAGGAUGAAAAACAAUAGUUUUGGCAGUUAAAGUUUGAGAUUCGAUGGUGCCGUAGACCCGUUUGGUCAUCAGGUGUUACGAGCCACACCCAUGUCUAGCUAGAGUAGUGUGCUAGGUUCAGACUAGAGAAGAAACAGGGAACAAAGUGAUGAAAGAAUGAUCAUACCGAGGGAAUUCACUCAGAACUAACAAGAAUGAUAACGUGCUCCGACUGGAGCGGUUUAGGAACUGCUGGAAGGCUCUAGGGGAAUAAAGAUGGAAUGACUUCUAAUUUUUACGUCCGUAUGAUUUGAAAUACUUGCACACAAACCACGCAAAAGCGUUCCUGGAAAUCUCAGCCUAAAAAAGGACGUUUAGUAAUUCAAAAAGGGACUACAAAAUGAAAAACAAUAGUUUUGGCAGUUAAAGUUUGAGAUUCGAUGGUGCCGUAGAUCCGUUUGGUCAUCAGGUGUUACGAGCCACACCCAUGUCUAGCUAGGAUAGUGUGUUAGGCUCAGGCUAGAGAAGAAACGGGGAACAAACUGAUGAAAGAAUGAUCAUACCGAGGGAAUUCACUCAGAACUAACAAGGAUGAUAACAUGCUCCGACUAGAGCGGUUUAGGAACUGCUGGAAGGCUCUAGGGGAAUAAAGAUGGAAUGACUUCUAAUUUUUAGGUCCGUAUGAUUUGAAAUACUUGCACACAAACCGCAAGAAAGCGUUCCUGGAAAUCUCAGCCCAAAAAAGGACGUUUAGUAAUUCUAAAAGGGACUACAGGAUGAAAAACAAUAGUUCUGGCAGUUAAAGUUUGAGAUUCGAUAAUGCCGUAGAUCUGUUUGGUCAUCAGGUGUAACGAGCCACACCCAUGUCUAGCUAGAGUAGUGUGCUAGGCUCAGACUAGAGAAGAAACGGGGAACAAACUGAUGAAAGAAUGAUUAUACCGAGGGAAUUCACUCAGAACUAACGAGAAUGAUAACGUGCUCCGACUGGAGCGGUUUAGGAACUGCUGGAAGGCUCUAGGGGAAUAAAGAUGGAAUGACUUCAAAUUUUUAGGUCUGUAUGAUUUGAAAUACUUGCACACAAACCGCAAGAAAGCGUUCCUUGAAAUCUCAGCCCAAAAAAGGACGUUUAGUAAUUCUAAAAGGGACUACAGGAUGAAAAACAAUAGUUCUGGCAGUUAAAGUUUGAGAUUCGAUAAUGUCGUAGAUCCGUUUGGUCAUCAGGUGUAACGAGCCACACCCAUGUCUAGCUAGAGUAGUGUGCUAGGCUCAGAAUAGAGAAGAAACGGGGAACAAACUGAUGAAAGAAUGAUCAUACCGAGGGAAUUCACUCAGAACUAACAAGAAUGAUAACGUGCUCCGACUGGAGCGGUUUAGGAACUGCUGGAAGGCUCUAGGGGAAUAAAGAAGGAAUGACUUCUAAUUUUUAGGUCCGUAUGAUUUGAAAUACGUGCACACAAACCGCGCGAAAGCGUUCCUGGAAAUCUCAGCCAAAAAAAGGACGUUUAGUAUUCUAAAAGGGACUACAGAAUGAAAAACAAUAGUUUUGGCAGUUAAAGUUUGAGAUUCGACGGUGCUGUAGAUCCGUUUGGUCAUCAGGUGUUACGAGCCACACCCAUGUCUAGCUAGAAUAGUGUGCUAGGCUCAGGCUAGAGAAGAAAAGGGGAACAAACUAAUGAAAGAAUGAUCAAUCCGAGGGAAUUCACUCAGAACUAACAAUAAUGAUAACGUGCUCCGACUGGAGCGGUUUAGGAACUGCUGGAAGGCUCUAGGCGAAUAAAGAUGGAAUGACUUCUAAUUUUUACGUCCGUAUGAUUUGAAAUACUUGCACACAAACCACGCAAAAGCGUUCCUGGAAGUCUCGGCCUAAAAAGGACGUUUAGUAAUUCUAAAAGGGACUACAGGAUGAAAAAUAAUAGUUUGGGCAGUUAAAAUUUGAGAUUCGACGGUGCCGUAGAUCCAUUUGGUCAUCAAGUGUUACGAGCCACACCCAUGUCUAGCUAGAAUAGUGUGUUAGGCUCAGGCUAGAGAAGAAACGGGGAACAAACUGAUGAAAGAAUGAUCAUACCAAGGGAAUUCACUCAGAACUAACAAGAAUGAUAACGUGCUCCGACUGGAGCAGUUUAGAAACUGCUGGAAGGCUCUUGGGGAAUAAAGAUGGAAUGACUUCAAAUUUUUAGGUCCGUAUGAUUUGAAAUACUUGCACACAAACCACGCGAAAGCGUUCCUGGAAAUCUCAGCCCAAAAAAGGACGUUUAGUAAUUCUAAAAGGGACUACAUGAUGAAAAACAAUAGUUUUGGCAGUUAAAGUUUGAGAAUCGUCGGUGCCGUAGAUCCGUUUGGUCAUCAGCUGUAACGAGCCACACCCAUGUCUAGCUAGAGUAGUGUGCUAGGCUCAGACUAGAGAAGAAACAGGGAACAAAGUGAUGAAAGAAUGAUCAUACCGAGGGAAUUCACUUAGAACUAACAAGAAUGAUAACAUGCUCCGACUUGAGCGAUUUAGGAACUUCUGGAAGGCUCUAGGGGAAUAAAGAUGGAAUGACUCAAAUUUUUAGGCCCGUAUGAUUUGAAAUACAUGCACACAAACCGCGAGAAAGUGUUCCUGGAAAUCUUAGCCCAAAAAAGGACGUUUAGUAAUUCUAAAAGGGACUACAGGAUGAAAAACAAUAGUUUUGGUAGUUAAAGUUUCAGAUUCGAUAAUGCCCUAGAUCCGUUUGGUCAUCAGGUGUAACGAGCCACACCAAUGUCUAGCUAGAGUAGUGUGCUAGGCUCAGACUAGAUAAGAAACGGGGAAGAAACUGAUGAAAGAAUGAUCAGACCGAGGGAAUUCACUCAGAACUAACAAUAAUGAUAACGUGCUCCGAGUGGAGCGGUUUAGGAACUGCUGGAAGGCUCUAGGGGAAUAAAGAUGGAAUGACUUCUAAUUUUUAGGUCCGUAUGAUUUGAAAUACGUGCACACAAACCCCGAGAAACCGUUCCUUGAAAUCUCGGCCCAAAAAAGGACGUUUAGUAAUUCUAAAAGGGACUACAAAAUGAAAAACAAUAGUUUUGGCAGUUAAAGUUUGAGAUUCGACGGUGUCGUAGACCCGUUUGGUCUUCAGGUGUUACGAGCCACACCCAUGUCUAGCCAGAGUAGUGUGCUAGGUUCAGACUAGAGAAGAAACGGGGAACAAAGUGAUGAAAGAAUGAUCAUACCGAGGGAAUUCACUCAGAACUAACAAGAAUGAUAACGUGCUCCGACUGGAGCGGGUUAGGAACUCCUGGAAGGCUCUAGGGGAAUAAAGAUGGAAUGACUUCUAAUUUUUACGUCCGUAUGAUUUGAAAUACUUGCACACAAACCACGCAAAAGCGUUCCUGGAAAUCUCAGCCUAAAAAAGGACGUUUAGUAAUUCUAAAAGGGACUACAGGAUGAAAAAUAAUAGUUUGGUCAUCAGGUGUUACGAGCCACACCCAUGUCUAGCUAGAAUAGUGUGCUAGGCUCAGGCUAGAGAAGAAACGGGGAAUAAACUGAUGAAAGAAUGAUCAAACCGAGGGAAUUCACUCAGAACUAACAAUAAUGAUAACGUUCUCCGUCUGGAGCGGUUUAGGAACUGCUGGAAGGCUCUAGGGGAAUAAAGAUGGAAUGACUUCUAAUUUUUAGGUCCGUAUGAUACGAAAUACUUGCACACAAACCGCGCGAAAUCGUUCCUGGAAAUCUCAGCCCAAAAAAGGACGUUUAGUAAUUCUAAAAGGGACUACAGCAUGAAAAACAAUAGUUCUGGCAGUUAAAGUUUGAGAUUCGAUAAUGCCGUAGAUCCGUUUGGUCAUCAGGUGUAACGAGCCACACCCAUGUCUAGCUAGAGUAGUAUGCUAGGCUCAGACUAGAGAAGAAACGGGGAACAAACUGAUGAAAGAAUGAUUAUACCGAGGGAAUUCACUCAGAACUAACAAGAAUGAUAACGUGCUCCGGCUGGAGCGGUUUAGGAACUGCUAGAAGGCUCUAGGGGAAUAAAGAUGGAAUGACUUCAAAUUUUUAGGUCUGUAUGAUUUGAAAUACUUGCACACAAACCGCAAGAAAGCGUUCCUGGAAAUCUCAGCCCAAAAAAGGACGUUUAGUAAUUCUAAAAGGGACUAUAGGAUGAAAAACAAUAGUUCUGGUAGUUAAAGUUUGAGAUUCGAUAAUGUCAUAGAUCCGUUCGGUCAUCAGGUGUAACGAGCCACACCCAUGUCUAGCUAGAGUAGUGUGCUAGGCUCAGACUAGAGAAGAAACGGGGAACAAACUGAUGAAAGAAUGAUCAUACCGAGGGAAUUCACUCAGAACUAACAAGAAUGAUAACGUGCUCCGACUGGAGCGGUUUAGGAACUGCUGGAAGGCUCUAGGGGAAGAAAGAAGGAAUGACUUCUAAUUUUUAGGUCCGUAUGAUUUGAAAUACGUGCACACAAACCGCGCGAAAGCGUUCCUGGAAAUCUCAGCCCAAAAAAGGACGUUUAGUAUUCUAAAAGGGACUACAGAAUGAAAAACAAUAGUUUUGGCAGUUAAAGUUUGAGAUUCGACGGUGCCGUAGAUCCGUUUGGUCAUCAGGUGUUACGAGCCACACCCAUGUCUAGCUAGAAUAGUGUGCUAGGCUCAGGCUAGAGAAGAAAAGGGGAACAAACUGAUGAAAGAAUGAUCAAACCGAGGGAAUUCACUCAGAACUAACAAUAAUGAUAACGUGCUCCGACUGGAGCGGUUUAGGAACUGCUGGAAGGCUCUUGGCGAAUAAAGAUGGAAUGACUUCUAAUUUUUACGUCCGUAUGAUUUGAAAUACUUCCACACAAACCAGGCAAAGGCGUUCCUGGAAAUCUCGGCCUAAAAAGGACGUUUAGUAAUUCUAAAAGGGACUACAGGAUGAAAAAUAAUAGUUUGGGCAGUUAAAAUUUUAGAUUCGACGGUGCCGUAGAUCCGUUUGGUCAUCAGGUGUUACGAGCCACACCCAUGUCUAGCUAGAAUAGUGUGUUAGGCUCAGGCUAGAGAAGAAACGGGGAACAAACUGAUGAAAGAAUGAUCAUACCAAGGGAAUUCACUCAGAACUAACAAGAAUGAUAACGUGCUCCGACUGGAGCAGUUUAGAAACUACUGGAAGGCUCUAGGGGAAUAAAGAUGGAAUGACUUCAAAUUUUUAGGUCCGUAUGAUUUGAAAUACUUGCACACAAACCGCGCGAAAGCGUUCCUGGAAAUCUCAGCCCAAAAAAGGACGUUUAGUAAUUCUAAAAGGGACUACAUGAUGAAAAACAAUAGUUUUGGCAGUUAAAGUUUGAGAUUCGUCGGUGCCGUAGAUCCGUUUGGUCAUCAGCUGUAACGAGCCACACCCAUUUCUAGCUAGAGUAGUGUGCUAGGCUCAGACUAAAGAAGAAAUGGGGAACAAAGUGAUGAAAGAAUGCUCAUACCGAGGGAAUUCACUCAGAACUAACAAGAAUGAUAACAUGCUCCGACUUGAGCGAUUUAGGAACUUCUGGAAGGCUCUAGGGGAAUAAAGAUGGAAUGACUCAAAUUUUUAGGUCCGUAUGAUUUGAAAUACUUGCACACAAACCGCGAGAAAGCGUUCCUGGAAAUCUCAGCCCAAAAAAGGACGUUUAGUAAUUCUAAAAGGGACUACAUGAUGAAAAACAAUAGUUUUGGCAGUUAAAGUUUGAGAUUUGAUAAUGCCGUAGAUCCGUUUGGUCAUCAGGUGUAACGAGCCACACCCAUGUCUAGCUAGAGUAGUGUGCUAGGCUAAGACUAGAUAAGAAAAGGGGAAGAAACUUAUGAAAGAAUGAUCAGACCGAGGGAAUUCACUCAGAACUAACAAUAAUGAUAACGUGCUCCGACUGGAGCGGUUUAGGAACUGCUGGAAGGCUCUAGGGGAAUAAAGAUGGAAUGACUUCUAAUUUUUAGGUCCGUAUGAUUUGAAAUACGUGCACACAAACCCCGAGAAACCGUUCCUGGAAAUCUCGGCCCAAAAAAGGAUGUUUAGUAAUUCUAAAAGGGACUACAAAAUGAAAAACAAUAGUUUUGGCAGUUAAAGUUUGAGAUUUGAUGGUGCCGUAGAUCUGUUUGGUCAUCAGGUGUUACGAGCCACACCCAUGUCUAGCUAGAAUAGUGUGUUAGGCUCAGGCUAGAAAAGAAACGGGAAACAAAGUGAUGAAAGAAUGAUCAUACCGAGGGAAUUCACUCAGAACUAACAAGAAUGAUAACAUGCUCUGACUGGAGCGGUUUAGGAACUGCUGGAAGGCUCUAGGGGAAUAAAGAUGGAAUGACUUCUAAUGUUUAGGUCCGUAUGAUUUGAAAUACUUGCACAUAAACCGCGCAAAAGCGUUCCUGGAAAUCUCAGCCCAAAAAAGGACGUUUAGUAAUUCUAAAAGGGACUACAGGAUGAAAAACAAUAGUUUUGGCAGUUAAAGUUUGAGAUUCGACGGUGCCGUAGAUCCGUUUGUUCAUCAGGUGUUACGAGCCACACCCAUGUCUAGCUAGAAUAGUGUGUUAGGCUCAGGCUAGAGAAGAAACGGGGAACAAACUGAUGAAAGAAUGAUCAAACCGAGGGAAUUCACUCAGAACUAACAAUAAUGAUAACGUGCUCCGACUAGAGCGGUUUAGGAACUGCUGGAAGGCUCUAGGGGAAUAAAGAUGGAAUGACUUCUAAUUUUUAGGUCUGUAUGAUUUGAAAUACUUGCACGCAAACCGCGCGAAAGCGUUCCCGGAAAUAUCAGCCUAAAGAAGGACGUUUAGUAAUUCUAAAAGGGACUACAGGAUGAAAAACAAUAGUUUUGGCAGUUAAAGUUUGAGAUUCAACGGUGCCGUAGAUCCGUUUGGUCAUCAGGUGUUACGAGCCACACCCAUGUCUAGCUAGAGUAGUGUGCUAGGCUCAGGCUAGAGAAGAAACAGGGAACAAACUGAUGAAAGAAUGAUCAUACCGAGGGAAUUCACUCAGAACUGAUGAAAGAAUGAUCAAACCAAGGAAAUUCACUCAGAACUAACAAUAAUGAUAACAUGCUCCGACUGGAGCGGUUUAGGAACUGCUGGAAGGCUCUAGGGGAAUAAAGAUGGAAUGACUUCUAAUUUUUAGGUCCGUAUGAUUUGAAAUACGUGCACACAAACCCCGAGAAACCGUUCCUGGAAAUCUCGGCCCAAAAAAGGACGUUUAGUAAUUCUAAAAGGGACAACAAAAUGAAAAACAAUAGUUUUGGCAGUUAAAGUUUGAGAUUCGACGGUGCCGUAGACCCGUUUGGUCAUCAGGUGUUACGAGCCACACCCAUGUCUAGCUAGAGUAGUGUGCUAGGUUCAGACUAGAGAAGAAACGGGGAACAAAGUGAUGAAAGAAUGAUCAUACCGAGGGAAUUCACUCAGAACUAACAAGAAUGAUAACGUGCUCCGACUGGAGCGGGUUAGGAAUUGCUGGAAGGCUCUAGGGGAAUAAAGAUAGAAUGACUUCUAAUUUUUACGUCCGUAUGAUUUGAAAUACUUGCACACAAACCACGCAAAAGCGUUCCUAGAAAUCUCAGCCUAAAAAAGGACGUUUAGUAAUUCUAAAAGGGACUACAGGAUGAAAAAUAAUAGUUUGGCCAGUUAAAAUUUAAGAUUCGACGGUGCCGUAGAUCCGCUUGGUCAUCAGGUGUUACGAGCCACACCCAUGUCUAGCUAGAAUAGUGUGUUAGGCUCAGGCUAGAGAAGAAACGGGGAACAAACUGAUGAAAGAAUGAUCAUACCGAGGGAAUUCACUCAGAACUAACAAGAAUGAUAACAUGCUCCGACUGGAGCGGUUUAGGAACUGCUGGAAGGCUCUAGGGGAAUAAAGAUGGAAUGACUUCUAAUUUUUAGGUCCGUAUGAUUUGAAAUACUUGCACACAAACCGCAAGAAAGCGUUCCUGGAAAUCUCAGCACAAAAAAGGACGUUUAGUAAUUCUAAAAGGGACUACAGCAUGAAAAACAAUAGUUCUGGCAGUUAAAGUUUGAGAUUCGAUAAUGCCGUAGAUCCGUUUGGUCAUCAGGUGUAACGAGCCACACCCAUGUCUAGCUAGAGUAGUGUGCUAGGCUCAGACUAGAGAAGAAACGGGGAACAAAAUGAUGAAAGAAUGAUUAUACCGAGGGAAUUCACUCAGAACUAACAAGAAUGAUAACGUGCUCCGACUGGAGCGGUUUAGGAACUGCUGGAAGGCUCUAGGGGAAUAAAGAUGGAAUGACUUCAAAUUUUUAGGUCUGUAUGAUUUGAAAUACUUGCACACAAACCGCAAGAAAGCGUUCCUGGAAAUCUCAGCCCAAAAAUGGACGUUUAGUAAUUCUAAAAGGGACUAUAGGAUGAAAAACAAUAGUUCUGGCAGUUAAAGUUUGAGAUUCGAUAAUGUCGUAGAUCCGUUCGGUCAUCAGGUGUAACGAGCCACACCCAUGUCUAGCUAGAGUAGUGUGCUAGGCUCAGACUAGAGAAGAAACGGGGAACAAACUGAUGAAAGAAUGAUCAUACCGAGGGAAUUCACUCAGAACUAACAAGAAUGAUAACGUGCUCCGACUGGAGCGGUUUAGGAACUGCUGGAAGGCUCUAGGGGAAGAAAGAAGGAAUGACUUCUAAUUUUUAGGUCCGUAUGAUUUGAAAUACGUGCACACAAACCGCGCGAAAGCGUUCCUGGAAAUCUCAGCCCAAAAAAGGACGUUUAGUAUUCUAAAAGGGACUACAGAAUGAAAAACAAUAGUUUUGGCAGUUAAAGUUUGAGAUUCGACGGUGCCGUAGAUCCGUUUGGUCAUCAGGUGUUACGAGCCACACCCAUGUCUAGCUAGAAUAGUGUGCCAGGCUCAGGCUAGAGAAGAAAAGGGGAACAAACUGAUGAAAGAAUGAUCAAACCGAGGGAUUUCACUCAGAACUAACAAUAAUGAUAACGUGCUCCGACUGGAGCGGUUUAGGAACUGCUGGAAGGCUCUAGGCGAAUAAAGAUGGAAUGACUUCUAAUUUUUACGUCCGUAUGAUUUUAAAUACUUGCACACAAACCACGCAAAAGCGUUCCUGGAAAUCUCGGCCUAAAAAGGACGUUUAGUAAUUCUAAAAGGGACUACAGGAUGAAAAAUAAUAGUUUGGGCAGUUAAAAUUUGAGAUUCGACGGUGCCGUAGAUCCGUUUGGUCAUCAGGUGUUACGAGCCACACCCAUGUCUAGCUAGAAUAGUGUGUUAGGCUCAGGCUAGAGAAGAAACAGGGAACAAACUGAUGAAAGAAUGAUCAUACCAAGGGAAUUCACUCAGAACUAACAAGAAUGAUAACGUGCUCCGACUGGAGCAGUUUAGAAACUGCUGGAAGGCUCUAGGGGAAUAAAGAUGGGAUGACUUCAAAUUUUUAGGUCCGUAUGAUUUGAAAUACUUGCACACAAACCGCGCGAAAGCGUUCCUGGAAAUCGCAGCCCAAAAAAGGACGUUUAGUAAUUCUAAAAGGGACUACAUGAUGAAAAACAAUAGUUUUGGCAGUUAAAGUUUGAGAUUCGUCGGUGCCGUAGAUCCGUUUGGUCAUCAGCUGUAACGAGCCACACCCAUGUCUAGCUAGAGUAGUGUGCUAGGCUCAGACUAGAGAAGAAAUGGGGAAAAAAGUGAUGAAAGAAUGAUCAUACCGAGGGAAUUCACUCAGAACUAACAAGAAUGAUAACAUGCUCCGACAUGAGCGAUUUAGGAACUUCUGGAAGGCUCUAGGGGAAUAAAGAUGGAAUGACUCAAAUUUUUAGGUCCGUAUGAUUUGAAAUACUUGCACACAAACCGCGAGAAAGCGUUCCUGGAAAUCUCAGCCCAAAAAAGGACAUUUAGUAAUUCUAAAAGGGACUACAGGAUGAAAAACAAUAGUUUUGGCAGUUAAAGUUUGAGAUUUGAUAAUGCCGUAGAUCCGUUUGGUCAUCAGGUGUAACGAGCCACACCCAUGUCUAGCUAGAGUAGUGUGCUAGGCUAAGACUAGAUAAGAAACCGGGAAGAAACUAAUGAAAGAAUGAUCAGACCGAGGGAAUUCACUCAGAACUAACAAUAAUGAUAACGUGCUCCGACUGGAGCGGUUUAGGAACUGCUGGAAGGCUCUAGGGGAAUAAAGAUGAAAUGACUUCUAAUUUUUAGGUUCGUAUGAUUUGAAAUACAUGCACACAAACCCCGAGAAACCGUUCCUGGAAAUCUCGGCCCAAAAAAGGAUGUUUAGUAAUUCUAAAAGGGACUACAAAAUGAAAAACAAUAGUUUUGGUAGUUAAAGUUUGAGAUUUGAUGGUGCCAUAGAUCUGUUUGGUCAUCAGGUGUUACGAGCCACACCCAUGUCUAGCUAGAAUAGUGUGUUAGGCUCAGGCUAGAAAAGAAACGGGAAACAAAGUGAUGAAAGAAUGAUCAUACCGAGGGAAUUCACUCAGAACUAACAAGAAUGAUAACAUGCUCUGACUGGAGCGGUUUAGGAACUGCUGGAAGGCUCUAGGGGAAUAAAGAUGGAAUGACUUCUAAUGUUUAGGUCCGAGGUCCGUAUGAUUUGAAAUACUUGCACAUAAACCGUGCAAAAGCGUUCCUGGAAAUCUCAGCCCAAAAAAGGACGUUUAGUAAUUCUAAAAGGGACUACAGGAUGAAAAACAAUAGUUUUGGCAGUUAAAGUUUGAGAUUCGACGGUGCCGUAGAUCCGUUCGUUCAUCAGGUGUUACGAGCCACACCCAUGUCUAGCUAGAAUAGUGUGUUAGGCUCAGGCUAGAGAAGAAACGGGGAACAAACUGAUGAAAGAAUGAUCAAACCGAGGGAAUUCACUCAGAACUAACAAUAAUGAUAACGUGCUCCGACUAGAGCGGUUUAGGAACUGCUGGAAGGCUCUAGGGGAAUAAAGAUGGAAUGACUUCUAAUUUUUAGGUCUGUAUGAUUUGAAAUACUUGCACGCAAACCGCGCGAAAGCGUUCCCGGAAAUAUCAGCCCAAAAAAGGACGUUUAGUAAUUCUAAAAGGGACUACAGGAUGAAAAACAAUAGUUUUGGCAGUUAAAGUUUGAGAUUCAACGGUGCCGUAGAUCCGUUUGGUCAUCAGGUGUUACGAGCCACACCCAUGUCUAGCUAGAGUAGUGUGCUAGGCUCAGGCUAGAGAAGAAACAGGGAACAAACUGAUGAAAGAAUGAUCAUACCGAGGGAAUUCACUCAGAACUGAUGAAAGAAUGAUCAAACCGAGGAAAUUCACUCAGAACUAACAAUAAUGAUAACAUGCUCCGACUGGAGCGGUUUAGGAACUGCUGGAAGGCUCUAGGGGAAUAAAGAUGGAAUGACUUCUAAUUUUUAGGUCCGUAUGAUUUGAAAUACGGGCACACAAACCCCGAGAAACCGUUCCUGGAAAUCUCGGCCCGAAAAAGGACGUUUAGUAAUUCUAAAAGGGACUACAAAAUGAAAAACAAUAGUUUUGGCAGUUAAAGUUUGAGAUUCGACGGUGCCGUAGACCCGUUCGGUCAUCAGGUGUAACGAGCCACACCCAUGUCUAGCUAGAGUAGUGUGCUAGGCUCAGACUAGAGAAGAAACGGGGAACAAACUGAUGAAAGAAUGAUCAUACCGAGGGAAUUCACUCAGAACUAACAAGAAUGAUAACGUGCUCCGACUGGAGCGGUUUAGGAACUGCUAGAAGGCUCUAGGGGAAGAAAGAAGGAAUGACUUCUAAUUUUUAGGUCUGUAUGAUUUGAAAUACGUGCACACAAACCGCGCGAAAGCGUUCCUGGAAAUCUCAGCCCAAAAAAGGACGUUUAGUAUUCUAAAAGGGACUACAGAAUGAAAAACAAUAGUUUUAGCAGUUAAAGUUUGAGAUUCGACGGUGCCGUAGAUCCGUCUGGUCAUCAGGUGUUACGAGCCACACCCAUGUCUAGCUAGAAUAGUGUGCUAGGCUCAGGCUAGAGAAGAAAAGGGGAACAAACUGAUGAAAGAAUGAUCAAACCGAGGGAAUUCACUCAGAACUAACAAUAAUGAUAACGUGCUCCGACUGGAGCGGUUUAGGAACUGCUGGAAGGCUCUAGGCGAAUAAAGAUGGAAUGACUUCUAAUUUUUACGUCCGUAUGAUUUGAAAUACUUGCACACAAACCACGCAAAAGCGUUCCUGGAAAUCUCGGCCUAAAAAGGACGUUUAGUAAUUCUAAAAGGGACUACAGGAUGAAAAAUAAUAGUUUGGGCAGUUAAAAUUUGAGAUUCGACGGUGCCGUAGAUCCGUUUGGUCAUCAGGUGUUACGAGCCACACCCAUCUCUAGCUAGAAUAGUGUGUUAGGCUCAGGCUAGAGAAGAAACGGGGAACAAACUGAUGAAAGAAUGAUCAUACCAAGGGAAUUCACUCAGAACUAACAAGAAUGAUAACGUGCUCCGACUGGAGCAGUUUAGAAACUCCUGGAAGGCUCUAGGGGAGUAAAGAUGGAAUGACUUCAAAUUUUUAGGUCCGUAUGAUUUGAAAUACUUGCACACAAACCGCGCGAAAGCGUUCCUGGAAAUCUCAGCCCAAAAAAGGACGUUUAGUAAUUCUAAAAGGGACUACAUGAUGAAAAACAAUAGUUUUGGCAGUUAAAGUUUGAGAUUCGUCGGUGCCGUAGAUCCGUUUGGUCAUCAGCUGUAACGAGCCACACCCAUGUCUAGCUAGAGUAGUGUGCUAGGCUCAGACUAGAGAAGAAAUGGGGAACAAAGUGAUGAAAGAAUGAUCAUACCGAGGGAAUUCACUCAGAACUAACAAGAAUGAUAACAUGCUCCGACUUGAGCGAUUUAGGAACUUCUGGAAGGCUCUAGGGGAAUAAAGAUGGAAUGACUCAAAUUUUUAGGUCCGUAUGAUUUGAAAUACUUGCACACAAACCGCGAGAAAGCGUUCCUGGAAAUCUCAGCCCAAAAAAGGACGUUUAGUAAUUCUAAAAGGGACUACAGGAUGAAAAACAAUAGUUUUGGCAGUUAAAGUUUGAGAUUCGAUAAUGUCGUAGAUCCGUUUGGUCAUCAGGUGUAACGAGCCACACCCAUGCCUAGCUAGAGUAGUGUGCUAGGCUAAGACUAGAUAAGAAACGGGGAAGAAACUGAUGAAAGAAUGAUCAGACCGAGGGAAUUCACUCAGAACUAACAAUAAUGAUAACGUGCUCCGACUGGAGCGGUUUAGGAACUGCUAGAAGGCUCUAGGGGAAUAAAGAUGGAAUGACUUCUAAUUUUUAGGUCCGUAUGAUUUGAAAUACGUGCACACAAACCCCGAGAAACCGUUCCUGGAAAUCUCGGCCCAAAAAAGUAUGUUUAGUAAUUCUAAAAGGGACUACAAAAUGAAAAACAAUAGUUUUGGCAGUUAAAGUUUGAGAUUUGAUGGUGCCGUAGAUCUGUUAGGUCAUCAGGUGUUACGAGCCACACCCAUGUCUAGCUAGAAUAGUGUGUUAGGCUCAGGCUAGAAAAGAAACGGGAAACAAAGUGAUGAAAGAAUGAUCAUACCGAGGGAAUUCACUCAGAACUAACAAGAAUGAUAACAUGCUCUGACUGGAGCGGUUUAGGAACUGCUGGAAGGCUCUAGGGGAAUAAAGAUGGAAUGACUUCUAAUGUUUAGGUCCGUAUGAUUUGAAAUACUUGCACAUAAACCGCGCAAAAGCGUUCCUGGAAAUCUCAGCCCAAAAAGGACGUUUAGUAAUUCUAGAAGGGACUACAGGAUGAAAAACAAUAGUUUUGGCAGUUAAAGUUUGAGAUUCGACGGUGCCGUAGAUCCGUUUGUUCAUCAGGUGUUACGAGCCACACCCAUGUCUAGCUAGAAUAGUGUGUUAGGCUCAGGCUAGAGAAGAAACGGGGAACAAACUGAUGAAAGAAUGAUCAAACCGAGGGAAUUCACUCAGAACUAACAAUAAUGAUAACGUGCUCCGACUAGAGCGGUUUAGGAACUGCUGGAAGGCUCUAGGGGAAUAAAGAUGGAAUGACUUCUAAUUUUUAGGUCUGUAUGAUUUGAAAUACUUGCACGCAAACCGCGCGAAAGCAUUCCCGGAAAUAUCAGCCCAAAAAAGGACGUUUAGUAAUUCUAAAAGGGACUACAGGAUGAAAAAGAAUAGUUUUGGCAGUUAAAGUUUGAGAUUCAACGGUGCCGUAGAUCCGUUUGGUCAUCAGGUGUUACAAGCCACACCCAUGUCUAGCUAGAGUAGUGUGCUAGGCUCAGGCUAGAGAAGAAACAGGGAUAAAACUGAUGAAAGAAUGAUCAUACCGAGGGAAUUCACUCAGAACUGAUGAAAGAAUGAUCAAUCCGAGGGAAUUCACUCAGAACUAACAAUAAUGAUAACGUGCUCCGAUUGGAGCGGUUUAGGAACUGCUGGAAGGCUCUAGGGGAAUAAAGAUGGAAUGACUUCUAAUUUUUAGGUCCGUAUGAUUUGAAAUACUUGCACACAAACCGCAAGAAAGCGUUCCUAGAAAUCUCAGCCCAAAAAAGGACGUUUAGUAAUUCUAAAAGGGACUACAGGAUGAAAAACAAUAGUUUUGGCAGUUAAAGUUUGAGAUUCGAUGGUGCCCUAGAUCCGUUUGGUCAUCAGGUGUUACGAGCCACACCCAUGUCUAGCUAGAAUAGUGUGUUAGGCUCAGGCUAGAGAAGAAACGGGGAACAAACUGAUGAAAGAAUGAUCAUACGGAGGGAAUUCACUCAGAACUAAGAAGAAUGAUAACGUGCUCCGACUGGAGCGGUUUAGGAACUGGUGGAAGUCUCUAGGGGAAUAAAGAUGGAAUGACUUCUAAUUUUUAGGUCUGUAUGAUUUGAAAUACUUGCGCACAAACCGCGCGAAAGCGUUCCUGGAAAUAUCAGCCUAAAAAAGGAUGUUUAGUAAUUCUAAAAGGGACUACAGGAUGAAAAACAAUAGUUUUGGAAGUUAAAGUUUGAGAUUCGACAGUGUCGUAGAUCCGUUUGGUCAUCAGGUGUUACGAGCCACACCCACGUCUAGCUAGAGUAGUGUGUUAGGC